rnacentral:rRNA from 1 species
AGGGUGUAAACGCUGCAGACUUGGUGUUGGGAACCCUUCGGGGGUGCUCAGUGCCGGAGAGGAGUUGUUAAGUCUGCUACUUGGGGAGUACGUCCGCAAGGAUGAAACUUAAAGGAAUUGGCGGGGGAGCACAACAACGGGUGGAGCCUGCGGUUUAAUUGGACUCAACGCCGGACAACUCACCGGGGACGACAGCAAUAUGUAGGCCAGGCUGAAGACCUUGCCUGAAUCGCUGAGAGGUGGUGCAUGGCGUAGACGUGU